AAAAAUAACUGGUAGACCGUCUUUUCUACCCCAUAGGUUGAAGGCAGGAGGGAGACCGACCUGCCACAGAAACCUGCAAGGGUGUACUGCCACAUCGUUCUGAAACCCAAGCUGCAAUUGUACAAAUGGCUCAAAAUCCCUUUUGACUAAAGGAUAAAGAUUGAAAGCAAAAGACGUAUUUUGACCAAGUGUGGAGGGAAACCAACUUUGAAUGAAACACGAAUAACAGAUAAGAUAGUGAAGAAAGUGCUUCACUGUGAUUCUCUUAAUAGUACUCAAUAAAAGUAUCUUUUAAGUUUUA
ensembl:lncRNA novel transcript